UACGGAGGGGGCGAGCGUUAUUCGGAAUUAUUGGGCGCAAAGGGCGCGUAGGCGGCUGUACAAGUCAAAGGUGAAAUCCCUCGGCUCAACUGAGGAACUGCCUUUGAAACUGUACGGCUUGAGGCCGGGAGGGGGUAGCGGAAUUCCCAGUGUAGCGGUGAAAUGCGUAGAUACUGGGAGGAACACCAGUGGCGAAGGCGGCUACCUGGACCGGUUCUGACGCUGAGGCGCGAAAGCGUGGGGAGCAAACAGG
rnacentral:rRNA from 1 species